AAUCCAUAGGUUAAUGAGGCGAACCGGGGGAACUGAAACAUCUAAGUACCCCGAGGAAAAGAAAUCAACCGAGAUUCCCCCAGUAGCGGCGAGCGAACGGGGAGGAGCCCAGAGCCUGAAUCAGCAUGUGUGUUAGUGGAAGCGUCUGGAAAGGCGCGCGAUACAGGGUGACAGCCCCGUACACAAAAGCGCAUGUGCUGUGAGCUCGAUGAGUAGGGCGGGACACGUGGUAUCCUGUCUGAAUAUGGGGGGACCAUCCUCCAAGGCUAAAUACUCCUGACUGACCGAUAGUGAACCAGUACCGUGAGGGAAAGGCGAAAAGAACCCCGGCGAGGGGAGUGAAAAAGAACCUGAAACCGUGUACGUACAAGCAGUGGGAGCACAGGUUUACCUGUGUGACUGCGUACCUUUUGUAUAAUGGGUCAGCGACUUAUAUUCUGUAGCAAGGUUAACCGAAUAGGGGAGCCGGAGGGAAACCGAGUCUUAACCGGGCGUUAAGUUGCAGGGUAUAGACCCGAAACCCGGUGAUCUAGCCAUGGGCAGGUUGAAGGUUGGGUAACACUAACUGGAGGACCGAACCGACUAAUGUUGAAAAAUUAGCGGAUGACCUGUGGCUGGGGGUGAAAGGCCAAUCAAACCGGGAGAUAGCUGGUUCUCCCCGAAAGCUAUUUAGGUAGCGCCUCGUGAAUUCAUCUCCGGGGGUAGAGCACUGUUUCGGCUAGGGGGCCAUCCCGGCUUACCAACCCGAUGCAAACUGCGAAUACCGGAGAAUGUUAUCACGGGAGACACACGGCGGGUGCUAACGUCCGUCGUGAAGAGGGAAACAACCCAGACCGCCAGCUAAGGUCCCAAAGUCAUGGUUAAGUGGGAAACGAUGUGGGAAGGCCCAGACAGCCAGGAUGUUGGCUUAGAAGCAGCCAUCAUUUAAAGAAAGCGUAAUAGCUCACUGGUCGAGUCGGCCUGCGCGGAAGAUGUAACGGGGCUAAACCAUG
rnacentral:rRNA from 1 species